CAGGAGCCACCUUCUGAGCCUCCAGUACCAUGUGUCAGGACCACAUGAACUGGGCAUUGUGGGCCUGACAUGGUGCUGGGGCCUCAGGGGUCUGCUCU
rnacentral:pre_miRNA from 1 species